rnacentral:rRNA from 1 species
UACAGAGGGUGCGAGCGUUAAUCGGAAUUACUGGGCGUAAAGCGUGCGUAGACGGCUAUCUAAGUCGGGUGUGAAAGCCCCGGGCUCAACCUGGGAAUUGCAUUCGAGACUGAAUAGCUAGGGUACGGUAGAGGGAAGCGGAAUUUCCGGUGUAGCGGUGAAAUGCGUAGAUAUCGGAAGGAACAUCAGUGGCGAAAGCGGCUUCCUGGACCAGUACCGACGUUCAGGCACGAAAGCGUGGGGAGCGAACGGAA